rnacentral:lncRNA from 1 species
CAAUGGAGAGAAAGUAGAGGCGAGCGGAGAGGGGGAGUGGGGCUGGAGGAGAGUGUGUGGGUGAGCAGAUAGGACUGGAGAUGGAGGGGGGGGGGGGGGGGGUAGGUUAAGUUGGUGCCUACACAGGGCUCUUUCCCACAGGCUCGCUCCUGUCUCCCACGCCUGGCCCUUCUAACCUGGCCUAGCUUCUGUUUAGUGUCUGGCUCUGUCACACCUCGGCCCACUCCCAGGAGAUCCGCACGUCUGUGGAGCGGAGCACAUUUCAAACUAGUUCUCCAAAGGAGGAAAAGGUAACACAAACACAGGCUUCCGUGUGGAUUUUUUUUUUUUUUGCUUGGCUCCAUCUUGGGCUCUUGGCUCCUUCUUUGAGAAUCACUUGAAAAACAUUUACUUUUCAAAUGACCUUUAACUGAAUAUAAACGUGCGCGCGGUUACCUUCGCUGCGGAGGUAAAGUGUCGGCAGCGAUCUGGAUCUGCUCCCUCGCGUGUAAACGCGCCGCGUUGACAGCACGCUGCCUGAACCGGAGUUUCUGUCUGGGGGAUGAUGUCCUCCCCGUUGUCCAGGAAACAGAAGCGCCUCGCUCCACAUGCAUGUAAUCUAGGUGACAAGAGAGGAAGAGAAGGGGCUCCAGCGUGCGUGACGGCGGCGGGUCAUGUGACCGGCCGCGGACGGGGGGGAGGCGGCGGCGGAGGGCGAGGGGACGGAGGAGGGGCUCCCGGUCCGAUUCAGGCCCCACUGUAUGUCUGACAUCAGCAAGUGAAUAAUUCAUCCGCAACUUCACGUGUGAAUUAUUGAUGGCUGCGAGAAUGCAGGCGUGCAGAGGGUGGCAGAGCCUGACGCAAGACGGAGAAAAGAAUCAGCAUUUCGUCAUUAUUUACAGUUUAAUUCCAACAUGAUUUAUUCACCGUCUGGCGUUUAAUCAGAUGAAAAUAGAUUUUAAAAGGGUUUUUUUGCUACUGUCUGUCUAAUUUACAAAGCAGCAACAAUGAAGACAAGUGGUUCAAACAGACCUUUUGUUCUUUAUACACUGAUUAUUCACUUCUGUACUCAUCUUUUUUUGAUAACAAGAGGUAAAAGACACAAAUAAUAAAGCAUUAGUAUAUUCUUAUAGUUGACA